UACAAGACGUAAUAAGACAGCUUCCGAA
rnacentral:sRNA from 1 species